rnacentral:rRNA from 1 species
CUGGCUCAGGAUGAACGCUGGCGGCGUGCCUAACACAUGCAAGUCGAGCGAUCUCUUCGGAGAAGAGCGGCGGACGGGUGAGUAACGCGUGGGUAACCUGCCUCAUACACAUGGAUAACAUACCGAAAGGUAUGCUAAUACAGGAUAACAUAAGAGAUUCACAUGGAUUUUUUAUCAAAGCUCCGGCGGUAUGAGAUGGACCCGCGUCUGAUUAGCUAGUUGGUAAGGUAACGGCUUACCAAGGCGACGAUCAGUAGCCGACCUGAGAGGGUGAUCGGCCACAUUGGAACUGAGACACGGUCCAAACUCCUACGGGAGGCAGCAGUGGGGAAUAUUGCACAAUGGGCGAAAGCCUGAAUGCAGCAACGCCGCGUGAGUGAUGAAGGCUUUCGGGUCGUAAAACUCUGUCCUCAAGGAAGAUAAUGACGGUACUUGGGGAGGAAGCCCCGGCUAACUACGUGCCAGCCGCGGC